rnacentral:snoRNA from 1 species
UUUUAUGAUGAAUUAUUUUGUCAGUUCUGCUACUGAAUAUAAAUUGAAGAUAAUAU